ACCUGUAGAGAAAUAUAUAGCAUUCGUACUUGUUAGCUACCAAAAAGAAAAAGGUAAUAAAUCUGCUAUUUCCUUUUUGUCAGGGGCCAAGGGAAAAGAGCUUCAUUAGCAUAUUUGUCACGCAGAUGUGAAAUGAGACAGAAAACUACUAGAACAAUUGGGAGAAAUCUAAAAUAUGAAGUUCCAGCACAAACUUAGAUGGCUUCUCACUAUGUGAAGGUUUGAACAGCAACUUCUGACAUGGAAAAUAAUCACAGCAAAAAGAGGCACUAACAAGUGACAGAUGUGGUUGACUCAUCUCCUUCUUCCUUGGACUCUCUAAUGAGCAAUUAAAUAGCCUGAAACAGAACAAUCAAGAGGUCUGGCAAAUCCACACACUAGAUGAUGAAGAAAUGUACAUUCAAGGAAAAUCAAACCAACUAAAGGAAGAAAAACUUUGAGUUCUGCUAUAUCUGUGGGUUCCUGCAGAUAAAAUCAACCAUAGAUAAAAAAUGUUCAGGAAAAAAAGCACCAGCAACAAUAAAAAAUAAUACAGAUGACUGCCUUUUCACUUUACUGGAUCCUCAUAUAGGAAACAGAGAGAGAGAGAGACAGAGACAGAGAGAGAGAGAAAGAGAGAGAGAGAGAGAGGGAGAAGAGGAGAG